UACGGAGGGUGCGAGCGUUGUCCGGAAUCACUGGGCGUAAAGGGCGCGUAGGUGGCGCGGGAAGUCAACGGUGAAAGUUCGGGGCUCAACCCUGAAUCGGCCGUCGAUACUCCCGGGCUCGAGCACUGUAGAGGCAGAUGGAAUUCCGGGUGUAGCGGUGGAAUGCGUAGAGAUCCGGAAGAACACCGGUGGCGAAGGCGGGUCUCUGGGCCGAUACUGACGCUGAGGAGCGAAAGCGUGGGGAGCGAACAGG
rnacentral:rRNA from 1 species